UGACAAUGGUGCCAGCUUUGGGCC
rnacentral:piRNA from 1 species